rnacentral:rRNA from 1 species
UUCGGGGUACUCGAGUGGCGAACGGGUGAGUAACACGUGGGUGAUCUGCCCUGCACUUUGGGAUAAGCCUGGGAAACUGGGUCUAAUACCGAAUAGGACCACGCGCUUCAUGGUGUGUGGUGGAAAGCUUUUGCGGUGUGGGAUGGGCCCGCGGCCUAUCAGCUUGUUGGUGGGGUAAUGGCCUACCAAGGCGACGACGGGUAGCCGGCCUGAGAGGGUGACCGGCCACACUGGGACUGAGAUACGGCCCAGACUUCCUACGGGAGGCAGCAGUGGGGAAUAUUGCACAAUGGGCGCAAGCCUGAUGCAGCGACGCCGCGUGAGGGAUGACGGCCUUUCGGGUUGUAAACCUCUUUCANUAGGGACGAAGCGNAAGUGACGGUACCUNNAGAAGAAGCACCGGCCAACUACGUGCCAGCAGCCGCGGUAAUACGUAGGGUGCGAGCGUUGUCCGGAAUUACUGGGCGUAAAGAGCUCGUAGGUGGUUUGUCGCGUUGUUCGUGAAAACUCACAGCUUAACUGUGGGCGUGCGGGCGAUACGGGCAGACUAGAGUACUGCAGGGGAGACUGGAAUUCCUGGUGUAGCGGUGGAAUGCGCAGAUAUCAGGAGGAACACCGGUGGCGAAGGCGGGUCUCUGGGCAGUAACUGACGCUGAGGAGCGAAAGCGUGGGGAGCGAACAGGAUUAGAUACCCUGGUAGUCCACGCCGUAAACGGUGGGUACUAGGUGUGGGUUCCUUCCUUGGGAUCCGUGCCGUAGCUAACGCAUUAAGUACCCCGCCUGGGGAGUACGGCCGCAAGGCUAAAACUCAAAGGAAUUGACGGGGGCCCGCACAAGCGGCGGAGCAUGUGGAUUAAUUCGAUGCAACGCGAAGAACCUUACCUGGGUUUGACAUGCACAGGACGCCGGCAGAGAUGUCGGUUCCCUUGUGGCCUGUGUGCAGGUGGUGCAUGGCUGUCGUCAGCUCGUGUCGUGAGAUGUUGGGUUAAGUCCCGCAACGAGCGCAACCCUUGUCCUAUGUUGCCCAGCGGGUUAUGCCGGGGACUCGUAGGAGACUGCCGGGGUCAACUCGGAGGAAGGUGGGGAUGACGUCAAGUCAUCAUGCCCCUUAUGUCCAGGGCUUCACACAUGCUACAAUGGCCGGGUACAAAGGGCUGCGAUGCCGUGAGGUGGAGCGAAUCCUUUCAAAGCCGGUCUCAGUUCGGAUCGGGGUCUGCAACUCGACCCUGACGUGAAGUCGNUAGAAUCGCUAGUAAUCGCAGAUCAGCAACGCUGCCGGUGAAUACGUUCCCGGGCCUUGUACACACCGCCCGUCACGUCAUGAAAGUCGGU